AUACUUACCUGGCGUCGAGGAUACCGUGACCAUGAAGGCGGUUCCUCCGGAGUGAGGCUCUUCCAUUGCACUCAAGGUGAGCUGACCUCUGCGAAUAUCCCUAAUGUGGAUAUCUCGGGCGUAAAAUUUUUGGUAGUCGGGAACUGCGUUCGCGCGAUCCCGU